AUUGAACGCUGGCGGCAGGCCUAACACAUGCAAGUCGAGCGGAUGAAGAGAGCUUGCUCUCUGAUUCAGCGGCGGACGGGUGAGUAAUGCCUAGGAAUCUGCCUGGUAGUGGGGGACAACGUUUCGAAAGGAACGCUAAUACCGCAUACGUCCUACGGGAGAAAGCAGGGGACCUUCGGGCCUUGCGCUAUCAGAUGAGCCUAGGUCGGAUUAGCUAGUAGGUGAGGUAAAGGCUCACCUAGGCGACGAUCCGUAACUGGUCUGAGAGGAUGAUCAGUCACACUGGAACUGAGACACGGUCCAGACUCCUACGGGAGGCAGCAGUGGGGAAUAUUGGACAAUGGGCGAAAGCCUGAUCCAGCCAUGCCGCGUGUGUGAAGAAGGUCUUCGGAUUGUAAAGCACUUUAAGUUGGGAGGAAGGGCAGUAAGUUAAUACCUUGCUGUUUUGACGUUACCAACAGAAUAAGCACCGGCUAACUUCGUGCCAGCAGCCGCAGUAAUAC
rnacentral:rRNA from 1 species